CAUCCUGUCAUUUUAAUUUGUUAAAUUCAGUCCCAUCAGUGUAUUUUCUGUUUCCUGUUUUAUUUUGUAGUAUCUGUCCCUUGUGUAUGUUUCGGUCUUUACUUCCUGUGGUUGAUUGUCGUGCCCAAUCCUCAUGUGUUUCACCUGUGCGUAAUUCCCCCCCCCCUUUCCUCUGUAUUUAAGCCUCUGUGUUUCCCUUUGUCCUCGUCGGUUUGUACUCGUUGUUUUCUACCUGUUUCCACACGGGUCAGAUAAGGUUUGUUUGUUUGUUCCUGCUGUCUCGACCAGCUUCCUCGUUCCUUGUUCUCCGUGCGCCUUGACGCCAGAGUUACUUGUGUUAGUGUUCCUGUUUGUUUUUGUCUUGUUUAAAGACUCUUUUUAUAUUAAAUACCUUUUUGUUUGUUACCUCUGCAUCCUGGGUCCAUCUCCUUCCACAAACCGUAACACUCUCGGUCUCUUCACAGCUCUGAUGAAAAUGGCCGGCGGAGCGAGGCCUGAUUCCCGCACACAAGGACGCAGUCACUGCACAUUACGCAGAGACUCGCUGAAAGUCCACAUUUGCAAUGCGGGAAAACGACGCCAUUGUACCUGCCUGUACUAUGACUUACUAAGACCCACUAUGAGCCAGUAGGACGGAGCUUCCAGUUCAUCCAUACGGACCUUGCAUCAGCAUUGAGGAGUUCAGGAGUCGGCAGAGAAGAAAGAGGAAAAGCUGAUUGAAGCGGGACAGAUGACAUGGAUCCAUCCUUCCACAGCCAGGAGCUCACCGACCUGUGUGCCACACUUCAAAUAAGACUAGAGGCUACACUGGAUCUCACAGUUGCACACCACAGACGUCUACACACCACAGACGUCUACACACUGGGGCAGAUUCGGACAGAGUCCCACAAAGAACAUAUGACCCAGAGGCUGCAAAGAGACAUUUCAAGCUUCACCUGAGUUUUUCACUGGCUAGGCUAGUUGUGUUUGUACAAUAUU